CCAUCAGAUGUGCCCAGAUGGGAUUAGCUAGUAGGUGAGGUAAUGGCUCACCUAGGCGACGAUCCCUAGCUGGUCUGAGAGGAUGACCAGCCACACUGGAACUGAGACACGGUCCAGACUCCUACGGGAGGCAGCAGUGGGGAAUAUUGCACAAUGGGCGCAAGCCUGAUGCAGCCAUGCCGCGUGUAUGAAGAAGGCCUUCGGGUUGUAAAGUACUUUCAGCGAGGAGGAAGGCAUUGUGGUUAAUAACCGCAGUGAUUGACGUUACUCGCAGAAGAAGCACCGGCUAACUCCGUGCCAGCAGCCGCGGUAAUACGGAGGGUGCAAGCGUUAAUCGGAAUUACUGGGCGUAAAGCGCACGCAGGCGGUCUGUCAAGUCGGAUGUGAAAUCCCCGGGCUCAACCUGGGAACUGCAUUCGAAACUGGCAGGCUAGAGUCUUGUAGAGGGGGGUAGAAUUCCAGGUGUAGCGGUGAAAUGCGUAGAGAUCUGGAGGAAUACCGGUGGCG
rnacentral:rRNA from 1 species